CUGGAACCGUCGUUGGUUCAAGUUAAACAACAAUGACCCUUACAAAACAAUGAUAGCUGAAGAAGAUGAAUUUUCCCCGAGAAUAGAAUUUUGUCCUUAGUGUAAGAAGAAGGCUGAGGCAUUUUCUAAACGAGGGCCAUAACUGUAGAAUGUGGUCCAGGCAUAUGCACCUAGCCAUGGUUGCUGGAUCUGACCGUUCUGGGUUUUCGCUAUGCUGUUGUUGUACGACACGGCCGGCCCUCGGCUUGGACUGCAUGGCCUCCGGCCUUUGCUCAACCACGGUCGUGGUUUUGCUGUGCCUCGGCUACAAGCUAUUCAGAAUCCAAGACCAAUCUCACCUCAACAAACAGUCCCAAGAGGUAGUACCAAAAGCAGGAAUGGUGCCGAGAAUUUGACAUGGGACUGCCCCUCCUUCAGUGGAUCAAAAUGAUGUUGAGUCUUCUACAACUGCUCCCCCAGGGGUUUGAUUGGUGUAGUACGUGGUUGGAGAGUAAGAGUACUACUGUGCCACUUCUAAAAUAGAAAUAUUUCUUGAGAUAUAUGUGGGAGAGAGAUUGAGCGGGAGGUGCUGUGUAUCUAAUUGGUGAGUGGUGACCGCAGCGGUGCUCUUGCUGGCUCUGACGCUGGUUACCACCACGUUACCUUUCUCGAGCCGGAGAUAUGUGUGGACCACCCCCGGUUCUGGCCUAGCUGGUGCGGCUGCUAUGUGGAGUCUACCGAUGGACGAGCCGAACUUGUAAAGCAAUCCGACUCUGAAGGGGAGAAGUGGCGCUGGACGGACAUUUUAUAUAGGUCCACGAUGCUGGCUUCUUAAACCCCACUUCGAUACAUGUCAUGUUGCACUUCAAAACCUGGAUAUGGUAGCUAUUGCCAAGAUAAGAUCAGGAAUGACACUGUGAUAUCUUAUUCAUGCUUUUGUACAUCUGAGCAGAUGCCAAGACAAUGUAAUGUUGGUCCUUCAGUAUUGGUUUUGGGCCCCUACUUGUGUGGUUGUUUCACAAAUACAAGACGAAGCAAUUAAGUUUGGUCGAUCAUCUGGAGUAUC